UUUCCGUAGGUGAACCUGCGGAAGGAUCAUUCAAAAUUAGUGUUUUAUGGCCCUUUUUCAGUCCAUAUCAACCUUGUGUGCAAUGUUGUUUUGUAACGCGAAUGCUUGUCAUUUGCGCUGCAGGAUGUAACCAUCAAAUCUUAUUUUUAACAACUUUGUCUGAAAAAUUGUAUGAAUACUUAAUUCAAAUACAACUUUCAACAACGGAUCUCUUGGCUCUC
rnacentral:misc_RNA from 1 species